GCAGCAGCAGCAAGCCGAUUAGGAGGAGGUCGAGGGUGUCAAAGAAGACCCCAAUAACACUCCUCAACACAGACGCCACCAACUUCAGAUCCCUCGUCCAGCAGUUCACUGGCUGUCCCCACCCACUGCCGCCCACGUCGACCUCUUUCCAAACGGCGCCGUUGGAUACCAAUCGCGGACCCCUCAACUUGAACUUCCAGCUCGGGACCGUUCAAACCAGCAAUCAUCAGCAGCUACCUAGUAAUAUUACUGGUCAGUCGUCGUCUAUGGUUAAUUAUCGUGAUGGUGCUGCUGAUGAGAUAACGAGAAAUAUUAGUGGAGGUCACAAUCAUAUGGAGAUGGUGCAGGA
rnacentral:lncRNA from 1 species